AGUUACUCUAAGAUGAUUACAACGUUUAGUAUCAGAAUCUCAGGUAAGGUCUCCAGACAAAACGAAUACUGCCUGUUCGACAAAGAUCGCUCCACACAGUAUCUGCUAGCUUACAAUUAUUCUCCUUCUCCUGUUAAUUUAGCAGUUGAAACACAACAUGUAAACAAUAGCAAAUUACGCGGUCGUUUAGGUUAAAGACAUCUGAAGGUCCCAAAAGUUCGAACUUUUUAGUAACUACUGGUUACCUUUAUCCAAGAACAAAACUUUCUUUAAUUACAAAUGGAAUAUGAAUACGGGUCCGUGGAAUGGGGAAUUUUAGAAAUGUUCAAUGAUUGUAACGUAAACCAAUG